rnacentral:rRNA from 1 species
GACGAACGCUGGCGGCGUGCCUAAUACAUGCAAGUCGAACGCACUCUCGUUUAGAUUGAAGGAGCUUGCUCCUGAUUGAUAAACAUUUGAGUGAGUGGCGGACGGGUGAGUAACACGUGGGUAACCUGCCCUAAAGUGGGGGAUAACAUUUGGAAACAGAUGCUAAUACCGCAUAAAACCUAACACCGCAUGGUGUAGGGUUGAAAGAUGGUUUCGGCUAUCACUUUAGGAUGGACCCGCGGUGCAUUAGUUAGUUGGUGAGGUAAAGGCUCACCAAGACCGUGAUGCAUAGCCGACCUGAGAGGGUAAUCGGCCACACCGGGACUGAGACACGGCCCAGACUCCUACGGGAGGCAGCAGUAGGGAAUCUUCCACAAUGGACGAAAGUCUGAUGGAGCAACGCCGCGUGAGUGAAGAAGGUUUUCGGAUCGUAAAACUCUGUUGUUGGAGAAGAAUGUAUCUGAUAGUAACUGAUCAGGUAGUGACGGUAUCCAACCAGAAA